AGUAUCUGUUGUGGUAGUGCUGAAGAGUGCGCGCUCAGAAAUAAAGAGUGAAAUAUGUAAGAGAGGAAAAGAGAACAAAAAGGGAUAUUUUAUGGUAUGCUUGUCAGAGCUACAAAUAAAAGAUCAGUUUCUGGUUAUUCGUUGACUUAUACAGUUGUGUCUUUUUUAUAACAUCAAGAGAGAUUAGUCCAUCUGUGAUUAAGUUUUACAGUCCAAUCGAUGCUGCUCCGCCUUGCUUUUAAAUAAGUCUAGAUUAUUACAGUGGCGACGAGUAUAAAAUCGAAUGAUGUGAACGAAAAUUUUGCAAGUGCUAUCGCGUGUGUAAUUGCAUGGUAAUUUUCGCCCUACAAUCCUAGCUGUACCGAAAUACUUUAUCAUCGUAUCGACGAUCAGCACCGCCGAAAGUGAGAAGCAGCUCAGUGCUCAUCUACUCAUUUGUCUGCUCACCAGUUUGCCGUUCACUCACGUCACCUAUUGCAUGGAAGGUGUAUGCAUGUGUGAGUGUCAACAUUUGAAGUGGUAGAAGGAAAGUGAGGCUACGAUUACUGAACCAUUUUGCGAAUACCAACACUAAUAUCCCCAAACUGAUCAUCGGUGUAUGCAGUGAGAAUCUCAGAAGUGCAUCUUUUGUCUAUAUUUAAUCGACGAUAAGCUGGUCGCCUGAGAUCUACGAAGGAAGAUUGGUGUUGGCUGAGUGGAUGAAGUAUUUCCCCGGCGUUAUUGCUGUUGCUUGCUGAUGUGGUUUAUGGUUGCUGCAGUGUGCUGGUUUUGAGCUUUACCAAAGUUUAUUUUGUAUCCCGAGUGUCUCCCAUAUUAUUGCCGUUGAAUUUGAUUACCUGAGUGGUGAGUUUCGACAAGUACAACAGAUUUCGCUGGGAGGAAGGCAAAUUUCGGCGCACAAACAACAGCUCAAGAUCACGAACGACACUCAGCGGGGAAUCAGCUCUAAGUUCGUUUUCCGAGAUGAGAACGAUCGGUACAAUUCUCAGAAGGGAAGAAGACUUUGAUGAGGAAGGAAGGAUGUCUGAUCACGAGUCCGACUUCUACGGAUUCCCGGCGGAGUCGUUCAUAUACAGAGAAGAUCUGUUCGACAAUCUAGUUCCUGAUACUGAGCCUAAAGAGAGGUUGCCAAAAACUAGGCGAUCGAAUAGAAACUAUAAGAAGAAGAUGAAACGUGAUUUUAUAUAUUAUUAGGCAGAAAUUGUAUUGGAAUAGUAGAAAUAUUAGGUUGUUUUCAUGAAUUUAUUUAUUUGCCUAACUAUUUGAUUUAGAUAAUUCACUUUCGAGUGAAUAUUGAUGUAGCAUUCAGAAAAUGUGUCGGUUUGAUUAUUCAAAUAUCGAGUGCUAGUUUUAUUUCUCAAAUAAGGGAGGAGUUGUUGUGGUAGUGCUGAAGAGUGCGCGCUCAGAAAUAAAGAGUGAAAUAUGUAAGAGAGGAAAAGAGAACAAAAAGGGAUAUUUUAUGGUAUGCUUGUCAGAGCUACAAAUAAAAGAUCAGUUUCUGGUUAUUCGUUGACUUA